UUGAAAUUUCCCCAAAGGGUGCAAGCCUCCCGGAGCUAGACCGCGUGGGGGAUGUUGGCUCGUGGGUUGUAAACCCCUUUUCUCAGGGAAGAAGUUCUGACGGUACCUGAUGGAAUCAGCCUCGGCUAACUCCGUGCCAGCAGCCGCGGUAAUACGGAGGAGGCAAGCGUUAUCCGGAAUUAUUGGGCGUAAAGCGUCCGCAGGUGGCUAGUCAAGUCGGUGGUCAAAGCACAGGGCUCAACUCUGUAAAGGCCGGCGAAACUGACAGGCUAGAGUGCGGUAGGGGCAGAGGGAAUUCCCGGUGUAGCGGUGAAAUGCGUAGAUAUCGGGAAGAACACCAGUAGCGAAAGCGCUCUGCUGGACCGCAACUGACACUGCAGGACG
rnacentral:rRNA from 1 species